rnacentral:rRNA from 1 species
GACAGAGGCCUCGAGCGUUAGGCGGAAUCACUGGGCUUAAAGCGUGUGUAGGCGGACCUCUAAGUACCUUGUGAAAUCCCACGGCUCACCCGUGGAACCGCUGGGUAUACUGGGGGUCUUGGGCCAUUCAGGGGCGACUGGAACAAGCGGUGGAGCGGUGAAAUGCGUAGAUAUCGCUUGGAACGCCGACGGUGAAAACAGGUCGCUGGGAAUGUGCCGACGCUGAGACACGAAAGCCAGGGGAGCAAACGGG